rnacentral:rRNA from 1 species
UCCAGACUCCUACGGGAGGCAGCAGUCGGGAAUAUUGCGCAAUGGAGGAAACUCUGACGCAGUGACGCCGCGUAUGGGAAGAAGGUUUUCGGAUUGUAAACCAUUGUCGUUAGGGAAGAAGAAGUGACAGUACCUAAGGAGGAAGCUCCGGCUAACUAUGUGCCAGCAGCCGCGGUAAUACAUAGGGAGCAAGCGUUAUCCGGAUUUAUUGGGUGUAAAGGGUGCGUAGACGGGAAUUUAAGUUGGUUGUGAAAGCCCUCGGCUCAACUGAGGAACUGCAACCAAAACUGGAUUUCUUGAGUAUUGGAGAGGAAAGUGGAAUUCCUAGUGUAGCGGUGAAAUGCGUAGAUAUUAGGAGGAACACCAGUGGCGAAGGCGGCUUUCUGGACAAUAACUGACGUUGAGGCACGAAAGUGUGGGGAGCAAACAGGAUUAGAUACCCCCGUA